CAUUAGUCCAGUCUUCUCAUGGCUAAAUAAUAUUGUGAAAUUUCUCUCCCUGGAGAUAUUUUUAAAUGUCUUUUACAAUCACAGGAAGUCAGAGCUGAAAGAGAAUUGAGAACUGUGUGAGACUAUCAAUCUCAUUUUACAGAUGAGAGUUCCAAGACCCUGAAGAAGCAAGUGACUGGAUCACACAGAUAGUGGUGUGAUAAGAUCCUGGGUGUCCAGAUUCCCCAAGCCGGGGGGUCUUUGCUUGUCUAAACAAGCCUUCUUCUCACUGCCAAUUUUGCUUCAUAAUUGUUACCCAAAGACAGCCAGGAACUUCUCUUAGAAUCCGUGAAUGUGCUUGUCAUGCAACAUUAAUCCAUGCCAGCAUUUAAGGUAACAUUGAAAUAGCCCAAAUGUACCUUGGGCAAGUGCCAUGAAUCCCAAUGGGGGUGGGCUGGGAGAAGUAGUUAUGUUAAUAAAACCUUUCCACAUCAAAAGUGUGAGUCAGAUUCAAUAUACGAAUCCCACCAAGAAGUUAAACACAGAGGGAGUUUAAUUUUAGUUCAAACAGAUCGGCCGUUCACAUCUCCCUUCAGAAAUAAAGGAGGUGGAAGUUGUUACGUCUUUCAAAUUAGAUUGACUGCUAAAAAUGGGAAAAUAGGCCCUGGCCGGGUAGCUCAGUUGAGGAGAGAGAGCAUCACCCUGAUAUGGCAAGGUUGCAGGUUUGAUCCCAGAUCAGGGCACAUACAAGAGUCAACCAAUGGAUGCAUAAAUACUAGUAAGUGGGACAACAGAAAUUGAUGUUUUUUCCCCCCUCUCUCUCUCAAAUCAAUAAAAAUAAUAAAAAUAGGAAAACAUCUGAAGGAGGGUCAUUUUCCUUGUGGACUGCUGUCCUGUGUACCAUCUAUUUCUAGCGAAGCUUGGACUUUCAGUCCAAUAGAGGAGGAAGUGAAGAGUGUGCCUUUUCUCCCCUUUGUCUUGGCUGCAUUCAGUAAAUUCCAUGCAGACCCCUUAACCCUGAGGGUGCGCCUGCCUCAGGCUCUUUCCUGAGCCCUGUUGCUCUGGGCUGGUCCACAGCUAGGCAAGGGCGGCUAUGGUUGUGGAGCUAUCAGAGCUUCUGUGAUGGUGUACAAAUCUUUUCUUAAGGAGAAGAGAAAGCAAAGGAGCCAGCCGUGCUCCUGCUCCUUGGAGCUCCCCUUCUUCUGCUCAUGUUUGUCUAGGAAGGCCUAAUGCAAGAAAAGAGGCUCAAAGAUGUGCCUUGUGGAUUUCAGAAAUUAUUUUUCCCACCACACUCUCAACCUGCUCCUGUCCCCAGUGUAUUUUCCCACCCCUCCCUCUGCUCCUUAAGUUCCCAAGCAAAGGAGUUUUGGGGUGAAUGAGGAAGAUGGAGAAAGUGCUGUUUCACCCUGAGUUUGUGUCUGAUGACUGGAAGGACCCAGGACCCUGACAGAGCCUUAUGGGAGAGAGCACCUGCCCUUCCCAAGAAGUUCCAGUAAUGGGGAGAUGCUAAUCACCUGUCUGGUGGCCUCCAGUGCAAAGCAGUGCCUGAGCUGGGGCCUCUUUGCUGCCUCCUGGAUGCCAGUGCCACUCCUAGGGGACCAUGGCAGUGGGAUGAAGCUGCAUCUGAGCUAAGAUGGUGGUUCUGCCCUCUUUGGACAAGCCCUUGCCCAUAAGAAGCAUUCAUGUGUUGAUUUGCAAAGCACUUCCGAGCUCCUCUUUGGGGAUUUUUUGUCUGAAGGGGAUCUCCAUUCCUGGAAUUCACUGAAAGCUCUCCCUGACAUGCCCUCUGCAACUCAUCACGCUAAUGGGAAGGGAGGGCUGGAGGCCCCACUGUGUCGGGAUGGCUGUAUUGAUUGCAGUGUCUGGAGGAAGGUUAUGGCAAUGGAUGGGGAUUCACUGAUAGUGGAGGAAUAAAGCUCUGGCCAUGGAGUCUGUCUUUUUAACUGGGCUGCUAGCCAGGGCUUCCUUGCCAGUUCCCUACUCCCCUCCAGUCCAUCACGCACACCCAACUAGAUCUGGCUUCCCUGAACACCACUUAGUCAAACUUCACAAUUGCUUAGAAACCCUUAAUGGAUCCUUUUGGCCUGGACUCAAGGCCCUGCACAAUCAGGUUCACAUCCACAAACAGUUGCUUUUACAACCGUCACUGAUCAUACCCUCUGCAGCAGAGCCCGCAGUCUGGUCAGAUGAAGUCUGCUCACAGUCCCCUGAGGAUUCCAGGCUUAUCUGAACCUCCAUGCCUCUUCCCAGGUUGUUCCUAUGUUCUGCUCUGCCACCUGCUCAAAUCCAGUCCCUCUUUCAGUAACUGGCUCUGCCUUCUCUUCUUAUCUUGCUAUGCAGUAGUCCAUUUAUCUAAUGUCUGCCAAGCCCCUGGAGAUGGGAAUUCCUGUAGCCUCCAGUGCAAGGCAGAAUGUGAGAUGCACACACUGCUUCUUGGGUGAAUGGGCAGUGAUGGGCACUUGAAAUAAUGAGCCCUCUCUGGACAACUUAGUAUUAUGUCUUUCUUGGCCUGGUGUUCAUACACCCACUUUAUAGUGUAGUCUGGAGAUGUUUAAAGGGAUGGGGGAGGAUGAAGGCAGAUGCUUCAGAAAGAUUUCCAACAAGGCAGUGGUCAAGAGCAGGAUUGAAAUGGAACAGAUGCUAGAGGCAAAAACAAAACAAAUAAACAAGCAAGGAAAACAAGACAUUGGAUAUAACACACCUUGGAGAUGGAAGGUGAGUGUAUGGGUUAAGUAUCCUCUGAAAGUUCAUGUCUAUCUGAAACCUCAAACUGUGACCUUAUUUGGAAAUAGUGUCUUUGUAGAUAUAAUUAGUUGAGGUGAGGUGAGGUCAUAGUGAAUUGGAAUGGGCUCUAAAUCCAAUGAGUGGUGUCCUUAUGAGAAGAGCAGAGGACUCUUAGAGAUGUCGCGAGGAGCCUAGGAAUGCCAAGGGUUUCCAGGGGGCACCAGAAGCUGGGAUGAGGCGAGGAAGCGCUCUCUCCUAUAGCCGUAGGUCUGACGCCUUGAUUUGGGACUUCUGGCCUGAACUGUGAGAGAAUAAAUUUCUAUUGUUUUAAGCCAUCCACUUGUUGUGGAUGAAUGAAUAUAGUGUAUAAUUUCUGAUAUAUAUAUAUAUCAGAAAUUUAGGGGAUCUAAUGCGUGGAUGACUGUGUCUCUCUGUGUUUUUAGUACUGCAACCUUACUAUCUAAUUGUGAUAAGAAGUUUGCACUUGUCAUUUGUGAUGCAGUUUUGCAAAGAACUACCAAGGGCAAAUUGACUCUUGGAAGCUCCUGGUCAUCUGGAUGGAGGUGGCUGGCCCAUGAAGUAUGUGGGGCAUGGUGGGAAAUUGUGGGUAGCGUCAUCCUACAAGGCUCAGGAAAGAUAAAUCAGUUUGUUACCAUUUUUAUGCAGAAGAAAUAUGGCUAAAGUGGUCAUCAGAAAUAGAGGAUGGUGUGCUUGGGAAGAGGGCAGGGAGAGGGGGAUGGGGAACGUGUUAUGGCGAACUUGGGGCAUUGGUUUGCUUUGAUACAAGUAAGAAGGAGAGGGGAGAUGGUGCUGAACUACCCCCCCCCCCCCCCCCCCCCCCGGCUUUUGCAGUGACUGGGCCACUGGGAGUUCUGGCUGUUUUUCUCCGAAGCAGUGAGAAUACCACAAAGCAGAGGGUGGACAAGAGGCAGCUCUGCCCUUGGAGGACGUUCUUCCUCCUUCUCAGUGCUGAGAUGGAGAGGUGCAAAGGGGUGCACACUGCAGGCCUCCCCCAGUCACACCCAUGGUCAUUGUUCUGUUUGAGCAAGUCUGUCUCAUUUCUGAGCUUUGAUCUUCUCCCUUUUUUUUUUUUGGUAAUCCUCACAUGAUAUUUUUUCAUUGCUUUACAGAGAGAGUUGGAAGAGAGGGAGGAGAGAGAAGGAGAGAUAGUGAUUGAUUGAUAUGAGACACAUUGACUAGUUGCCUCCUGCAUGUGUCCCAACUGGGGUCAGAGAGUGAACCCCAACCCAGGUACAUGUCCUUGACUGGGGAUCGAACCCUCAACCCUUCGGUGCGUGGGCUGAUGCUCUAACUACUGACCCACACCGGCCAGGAUAGGUCUCUCUUUUACAAAAGGCAUCUGAGGUUUAUGUGAACACUGAGGAAGAACAUUUUGUGAAUCUUAGAAUGCUAUAUAUUAUUACAUUUUAGAGUCUUUCCCAGGAGACAGGUGGAGUCUUCAUUCUUUGGGGUGGCUCACAGACUGUGGGAAAAGUAAUGCAGGUUUUGGUUUGGGAAGAUGAAAAAGUUCAUCUUCCCAAGGAUGCACAACUAUGUGAAUGUACUUAAUGGCUCCGAAGUGUUCACUUAAAACGGGUUAAAAUGCUAAAUUUUAUGUUGUGUGUAUUUUACCACCAAAAGAAUCAUAAGCACCUCCCCACAACAAACGAAGUAGCAGAUACUGGACAAAGCUGGACUUCAAGUAAAUUUGACCCUUAGAUGUUACAGAGUGAUUAUUGCACUUGUGGCAAAUGCUCAUAUUUACAAUCAUUGUGAGGAAUUAGACCCAUUUACUAGGACUCAACAAACACCAUAUAUUAUUGUUAGUACUUUUGGAUGGCUCUAGAAAUUCCUUUGGGAGGGAAAUAGAUCGUAAUAAUUGGAAUUCCAAUAAACUGUAAAUUGUACUUAAUAACAUAUGAUCUGAGACCACUUUGCCAGCUCGUCCUCUGCCCCCAGGGUGAUGCUCCCUUCUCAGCACUGCUCUUUCUUCUUUCUUCCUUCCCUUUGGCUCCCAAUUUACGCUUUAUCCCAGGUCAGGGUAGAGACAGAUUUGCAUCUAUAGCACAGAAACACGUGCUGAGUCUCAGGUGGCCUCAUGCACCUUACCAAAAGCAUCGAUGAUAUCCUCUGGCCCAGACUUGGCUCCCAGAAGUGAGAGCUGUUUGCACACCUCCCAGAGCAUUUCAUUGUCUAGGCCUGUGGGCAUCCACAUCAAACCCUGACAGCUUCCCCUGUCUUACAACUUCACCCAUUCUUCCCUUUCUCCAGCUAUGAACGGCUUCUGAAGGUCAGAACCACAGGCAUCAGUGCUGCCAUAUAACCUUUUCAUUUCUGAGGAGUCCCCAGAGGCUGGAGGCCCAGAAAAUGACGGAAAGUGGUUGAAAGAUGGACAUCUUUUGGAUCGAGAAAUUGUUUGAUUUAAGCAUAAAAUAAGCUGUUUAAGGUUUCUUGUUCAAAUAUUGGAAGCUGUAUUGUGCCUCCUCUAAAUCCUAUCUGAAAAUAAUGUAGAACCCUACCUCCUGACGGCCCAUGGUGCUGGGUGGCUUGGAGUCAUGCGCAGAGCCAGGCCCUUCUCUCAGAUGUUCUGGCUGCCUGCGUUUGUGCCUUCAGGGCAGGCGGCCAGUCACUGAGAGGGAGCAGGGAUGGGAAAAUCAAUGUAUUCCUGUGGGCUUCUUCUUGUUGAAUUUUGCUCCACAGGUUGGAGGAUAAGUUCCAGUCCUCCUAACUAGGCCUUAAAGUCUGGGUGGACUGGAUGCUCACUGGAACCUGUGGAGUUUGUAAAACAAGGAGCUCACUGCCUCGCGUGGUCAGGAGAGGCAGGAGUAAGAGCAGGCGUGAAGGCCUGGGAGUUGGAAGGAAGUUGGGACUCAGCUCCUUGUGGCCCUUCCCUUUGAGAUUCACCAAAGGAAAAAGAGAUGUCUCCUUGCUGAGAGCAAAAUGGAACCUCCUUUCUGCACAUAAAGCCCUUCCCCACUGCAGGUUAUUCCAAAGGAGAAGAAGCAUGACUUCCAGAUGCCAUCGGAGGAAACCGGCCUGUCUAAUGGAGACGAGGACGGCUGAGCGCUUACGCGUGCAUGGACGCCUGUGCUGCAUCAAACAAUUCUUCAUGAUGAGAGAAGGUGCAUCAUGGAGAGAGCACCAGCACCUCUUUCUAGCACUCCAGUUCCCUAAUUCCUGCUGCUCCUGUGUCUGAAACCAUAGCACCCUCAUUGGACCACACCAGCAACAAAUGCAAACUGGCCACAGUCCUCUUAGAUGUAUUCAAAACACACCAUAGAGAAGACGACACUUGAAGAUGAGAAGGGUUAAAAAAAGAGCACUGUUCUCCUGGCAUGCUGGGAUGAGUGCCUGAAAGUGGAUGCUGGUCAGGUUCCAUGUGCAUAUCAGCUGGGUCCAGGAGGCACGUGGAAAACCUCUUUAUGGUGAGGAUGUGCCUGGGCAAUGGAAGCAUCCAGAAAGAGGAUCUUUUGUAGGACUUACUGAUGGGUGGUUGAUCACUCACACAGAGGGAAGGAACCGUGGACUCCAUGAUAAUGACUCUUCAGCCACCUUCUGUAUUUCUAGAGCAUUGAAAAUAGAACCACCAUGUAUGGCAUAUAGAAUGUCUUACAGAAAAAAGGUGUGGUAAAGUAUUUGUUUUGACAAGUUACCUUGCAAGUGAUGUGAAAGCAACUUGGAGAAAAAUAUCCUCAUCUAAUGCAUCCUGUAGCCUAAAUUUGUUGAUGUCAUAAAAAUAUUUUAAUAGAUUUUUAUAAGUUGGAUACACUCCAGGAGGUAGAUAAGCAAAAUAGAAUCUAAAACACGUAAUAGAUUCUAGAAUUAGAGCAGCAUAGGAAGUAAAAAGAAGUUAUAUAAAGAUAGGAGAAAUGUAUAAAUACUACAAAAGGACACUGAACUAUGUUAGGGCCUUUACUAAGGGAUUGAAAAAAUUGGGUAAGUCUAUAAAAGACACUGAGAGGCUUGAAAAAAACUAGGUAAAGGUAGAGUAGUGAUGUCCUUGUGGGAGUUUAAAACAAAAUAAAGAAGUUAUUCAAGAGAGUAAUUAUUGAGGAUCUCAAGUGUAAAGUGUAGUUUCACAGCUUAGGAAGAUAACUCAGUUCUGGAGCCCUUAUCUCUAUUCCAGACAUUGGUAGAGUUCUGGAUCUAUUUGAGAAGAUCCUAAGACAAUUUCAGAGGAUUUUGGCUGUAGAAGACAUACCAGUGACUGUCUUGAUGAGCUUGGCCCCUUUAAGUCAGAAGUGAUCACCUGUGGGCUGGGUUGACCUUGACCAUGGGCCUCAUAUUUUUUACUUACAGGCUGGCUCUCAGCCAACUUCCAAGCUCUGGGCUCCUCCUUCUAAGCUUCUCCGUACAUAGUCUUGUUCCUGGGCCACCUGACUGAUUUUUUAAUGCCUGAGGACUUGUUUCCAUCUCUGCACGCCCAAGUCUUGGCCAAGCUCCUAUUUCUGAAGACUUAGUUGCAACAUCUGCCCCUGCUGGGGAUGGUCGUAGCUUUCCUAGCUGACACACAGUCUGGCUCGAGUCCAGUCUCUUCUGUGGUUGUUCUGAGCAGCAGGAAGCACUGUCUUCUGGAUUCACUGCAGAACUUAAGUGUACAGUUGCUGCAUCCAGAUUGGACAGUGACUCUGGCUGAGAAAUCCCUUACUCCUGUUUCAGAUAAACUCCACUGGCAUUUAAAAUCUCAGUGCCCUCUGCCCCAUUUGUCCAGAGGAAAGUACAGUGGAACACUUCACCCAGAAAUGCAGAAGAAACACAUGGUUGGCUAGUGCUGCUGACUGAAUCUUGGCUCUCAAGCUCCAAGGCGGUAGUACAAAUGCAGAGGGCACUGCUGCUACAGCUGCCUGGCACAUCUGUAGACUAUGCAGCAUAUUUCAGCCUUCGGUGUUGGAGUGGUAUUUCCAAAUAUAGACUCAAAGGAUCCUCAGGUGCUCGCUUCUAGCAUAGAGCCAGGGGUCCUGUCUUGCACACGGGCCUGCAGCAUGGGGAGAGGACCGGUCUUCUGUGCCUCUUUCUUCAAACUCUUCUACCUUCAGGAGGCCAGAGAGGGAUGUGGGUCUACAUCUUGAAAUAUGUGCCUUGAACAAAAAUUACUAACCCGUAGAAAACUUGUCUGACUUUGAACGAAGUCUCAGUUUACAGACGCCUAUGGAAAUAUCAGAAUAAAGCAUCAGAAGAAACAGUCACAUUGGAGGCCAUUAACUAAGGGGAAAACCUGAAAAAUAAAGUUCUAUUUGCCAAAAACUGUC